UCCUGACCUUUCCGGCAACCUCGCACAUGGUUGGAGGAUUAGCUGUUGAUUAGUUCUAUAGAUUGUAUUCAAUUUGUGCAUUAAAUACAAGUCCAUGCGUCCAAGUGUGCCGUUGGCGUAAUGGUCUGUUGAGCAGGGUCUACCAUUAGCACCACACACACUCCCAUCCGAAAUGGUGGAAAAUCGCCCCGCAACUUUGAAGCCAAACGGUACUCCCAACUCUGUACGGAAACGAACGCAGGCAGGCAAACCAACACGCUACGUACAACUGCUCUCUGUCAACAGGUAAUCGAAAUGAACCCAAUACGAGUGGUGAUGUUGUCCUUUGUGAGGGGUUUUUUUUUUUUGCUCAUCGAUGGAUAAACACUGGCAAGCUCGUCAGUAGACCUUUGGAAAACCGUAAAACGAAAAAACGGCAUACAACAUGGGAUACGAUACAACGGUAGGAAAUGAAAUUAUUUAAAACUCAAUUUCAAAAACCAAAACAAAAGGCCAAAAAUUGUUCCCUUAUCCCUUUCCAUAGUUUUUUCAGGGUUUGUGGGUGUAUUUGCCUGUUUUUUUUUCGAAUCCACUUCAAAAAUUCCUUUCACUUUAAGCCAUUCCAUCCUCAUCAUGGAAACCCUUUUUGUGAAUGCCUACCGUAUGCGGUAGAGGAGGAAGGCGUUUUGAUGGUGUUGAUGCAACAAUAAAAAACAUACACACUAUGAUGUGACGUGACCGUG